rnacentral:rRNA from 1 species
GACGAACGCUGGCGGUGUGCUUAACACAUGCAAGUCGAACGCUGAAGCCCUUUCGGGGGUGGAUGAGUGGCGAACGGGUGAGUAACACGUGGGUAAUCUGCCCUGCACUCUGGGAUAAGCCUUGGAAACGGGGUCUAAUACCGGAUAGGACACAUCGCCGCAUGGUGUGUGUGUGGAAAGUUCCGGCGGUGCAGGUUGAGCCCGCGGCCUAUCAGCUUGUUGGUGGGGUGAUGGCCUACCAAGGCGACGACGGGUAGCCGGCCUGAGAGGGUGACCGGCCACACUGGGACUGAGACACGGCCAGACUCCUACGGGAGGCAGCAGUGGGGAAUCUUGCGCAAUGGGCGAAAGCCUGACGCAGCAACGCCGCGUGGGGGAUGACGGCCUUCGGGUUGUAAACCUCUUUCGACCGGGACGAAGGGUGACUGACGGUACCGGUAGAAGAAGCACCGGCUAACUACGUGCCAGCCGCCGCGGUAA